rnacentral:rRNA from 1 species
UACCAGCACCCCGAGUGGUCGGGACGAUUAUUGGACCUAAAGCAUCCGUAGCCGGUUUUACAAGUCCUCCGUUAAAUCCAGCUGCUUAACAGAUGGGCUGCGGAGGAUACUAUAAGACUAGGAGGCAGGAGAGGCAAGCGGUACUCAGUGGGUAGGGGUAAAAUCCGUUGAUCCAUUGAAGACCACCAGUGGCGAAGGCGGCUUGCCAGAACGCACUCGACGGUGAGGGAUGAAAGCUGGGGGAGCAAACCGG